UGCGCUCGUGCGUAUAUGUGUGUGUAUGUUCAAUAUAUAUGUAUACUGCAUAUAUACUGUGAAUAUAUAUACACAUACAUAUACAUAUACACCCCCACGUAUGGCGCGCGUGGCCCCCUCCCACACUAGGAAAGUUUCGCCGCUCGAGGCAGUCCUGGAGUCGAGGGCGAGCGGCCGCUGGAGGAGGGAUUGAUUACCAGUUUGUUGCUGAACUGAAUCAUGGAAAAUCCUGAGCUAGAUGACAUCAGUGAUAAAGAAGAAGAUACAUUAUUACUCCAAGAUCUGUCAGAUGAGGGGCAUACAGUCAGUGAAAAGGCAAGAAAGCAAGUGAAAAGUAAGGCAUUCAACCAAGCCCUAUUACGAUGGACACUUUAUAGACUGAACAAGAAUACUCUCAGUGCAAAGGAUCUUCAAAAAGGGCCAUUGUGGUCAUCGGUAUCAUGCUUCGUGCUGUUAGUAUUUGCUACACUUUUUGCUCUGGGUUUUUGGUGGCUUCAGCUUAAGUACCAAAGGGCUUAUUACAACAUUUUACCCUUUCAUUGUAUAUGUUCAGUUGUGUAUACUGUAACUUCUAUUAGAGGAAUAUAUAUUUUCCAAAAACCUUGUGUGUUCUGGAUUGUGUCUACAUAUUUAAGAUUAACAAAAGAUGUGCAUCAUAUUAUUUAUAGUACGAAUGGAGAUGAAACUGAGUCAAUAGAUGAGGAAGAAAGCUUGAACGAAAAGAUUUCAGAGAGCUAGAAGUGAAAAUAUCCCACAUUAUUUUAUCUUCGUUAUAUUUUGUAUAUCCAAACAUCAGCAUACUGUAGAGAGAAGUAGUGUCUGCUUGUACUUCAGAGGAAGCUUCACAAGUUCAUGUUUCCAUUGGUAACUUAAUGUCACCGGAAAAAUGCUGUGCUUAAUUUUCUAUAUUUUUUGUGAAAUGUCUCUGCCCAUAGAUGGCUCUGCUAGUGCUUAGCCACAAAGGAGUCAAUUAGUAGACCUUGUGACCGUACCAGAUUUCACCUUUCCUUGAAUUGGCGGGAAAAGCAUUUUUUCUACUAAUACUAUGAAUAUUAAUAG